CACACCGCCCGUCACACCAUGGGAGUUGAUUGCACCAGAAGUGGGUAGCCUAACCGCAAGGAGGGCGCUUACCACGGUGUGGUCAAUGACUGGGGUG
rnacentral:rRNA from 1 species